rnacentral:rRNA from 1 species
UACGUAGGGGGCAAGCGUUGUCCGGAAUCAUUGGGCGUAAAGCGCGCGUAGGCGGCUCGAUCAGUCUGCUGUAAAAGUCAAAGGCUCAACCUUUGAAUGCCGGUGGAUACUGCCGGGCUAGAGUCCGGAAGAGGCGAGUGGAAUUCCUGGUGUAGCGGUGAAAUGCGCAGAUAUCAGGAGGAACACCGGUGGCGAAGGCGGUUCUCUGGGCAUUACCUGACGCUGAGGAGCGAAAGUGUGGGGAGGCGAACAGG